UGUGACGUUACCAAACUGUUGCCUCGGCGGGAUCUCUGCCCCGGGUGCGUCGCAGCCCCGGACCAAGGCGCCCGCCGGAGGACCAACCAAAACUCUUUAUGUAUACCCCCUCGCGGGUUUUUUACAAUCUGAGCCAUCUCGGCGCCCCUCGUGGGCGUUUCGAAAAUGAAUCAAAACUUUCAACAACGGAUCUCUUGGUUCUGGCAUCGAUGAAGAACGCAGCGAAAUGCGAUAAGUAAUGUGAAUUGCAGAAUUCAGUGAAUCAUCGAAUCUUUGAACGCACAUUGCGCCCGCCAGUAUUCUGGCGGGCAUGCCUGUCCGAGCGUCAUUUCAACCCUCGAACCCCUCCGGGGGGUCGGCGUUGGGGAUCGGCCCUUUACGGGGCCGGCCCCGAAAUACAGUGGCGGUCUCGCCGCAGCCUCUCCUGCGCAGUAGUUUGCACACUCGCAUCGGGAGCGCGGCGCGUCCAUUGCCGUAAAACACCCAACUUUCUGAAAUGUUGACCUCGGAUCAGGUAGGAAUACCCGCUGAACUUAAGCAUAUCAAUAAGCGGAGGAAAAGAAA
rnacentral:rRNA from 1 species